rnacentral:rRNA from 1 species
AUUGAACGCUGGCGGCAUGCUUUACACAUGCAAGUCGAACGGUAACAGCACUUCGGUGGCUGACGAGUGGCGAACGGGUGAGUAAUACAUCGGAACGUGCCUAGUAGUGGGGGAUAACUACUCGAAAGAGUAGCUAAUACCGCAUGAGAUCUAAGGAUGAAAGCAGGGGACCUUCGGGCCUUGCGCUACUAGAGCGGCUGAUGGCAGAUUAGGUAGUUGGUGGGAUAAAAGCUUACCAAGCCGACGAUCUGUAGCUGGUCUGAGAGGACGACCAGCCACACUGGGACUGAGACACGGCCCAGACUCCUACGGGAGGCAGCAGUGGGGAAUUUUGGACAAUGGGCGCAAGCCUGAUCCAGCAAUGCCGCGUGCAGGAUGAAGGCCUUCGGGUCGUAAACUGCUUUUGUACGGAACGAAAAGCCCUCUUCUAAUACAGGAGGGUCAUGACGGUACCGUAAGAAUAAGCACCGGCUAACUACGUG